ACAGAAACCUAGCACAACUGUCAUCAGGAAGGCUUCACCCAGCAACUGGAAACAGAUGCAGAGAGCCAGACAUUAGAUAGAGCUUGAGGAAUCCUGCAGAAGAAGGGGAAGAAGGAUUGUAGGAGCCAGAGGAGUAGUCAAGGAAACCAAAAGAAAACCUAUAGGGGCUGGAGAGAUGGCUCAGCAGUUAAGAGCACUGACUGCUCUUCUGGAAGUCCUGAGUUCAUUUCCCAACAACCACAUGGUAGCUCACAACCAUCUGUAAUGGGAUCUGAUGCCCUCUUCUGGUGUGUCUGGAAACAACAACAUUGUGUGUGAGUGUGUGUGUGUGUGUGUGUGUGUGUGUGUGUAAUCUUUUAAAAAAAGAAAAGAAAGAAAACCUAUAGAAUCAACUAACCUGGGCUCACAGAGACUGAGCAGUCAACCAAGAAGCCUGCAUGGGACUGACCUAGGCUCUCUGCACAUAUAGUACAGUUGUGUAGCUUGGUCGUCAUGUGGGACUCCUAACAGUGAGAGAAAGGGAUGUCUCUGAUUCUGUUGCCUGCAUUUGGGACCCUUUCCUCCUACUGGACUGCCUUGUCUCCAAUAGGAGAAAAUGCACCUAGUCCUACUGCAACUUAAUAUGCCAGGGCCAUGUGGGCAUCUGAACGUAUCCAUGAGAGACCUCUCCUUUUCUGAAAAGAAAUGUAGAAGGAGUGGAUGAAUGUUGGGACAGGAGAGAGAUGGGGGAAGGAAGGACUGGGAGUGGGGGAGGGAGUGGAAACUGAACGCAGAAUAUAAAUCAAAUUAACUAACUGAUAGUUUUAAAGAAUACUGAGCUUGACCCAUAAGCAUUAAUAUUUGAUAUUUUUAUUAUUUUAUUAUUCCCUUUACUUCAUAGACACCAAGCUGACUCCUAAAGAGGAUACACACACACACACACACACACACACACACACACACACACACACACACAUUCUACCAAGCCAACACGGUUGAGUAUAAAGGUUUUUUUGGUAACAUAAGUGGCCAUGUGGGCAUCUGAACAUAAGCCAGGAAAGGGCAGAUGACAUCUGAGUAACACUUUCCAAAUGUCUGUUGCCCACAUUCUGUGCCUGUAUGGUUAGAUGAGAGCUCUGCUGUCUUCAUUCUCUGAUGUCAGCAGGUGACACACAACUGACUCUUAGCUCACUGCUGCCCACCCUUCGAAUGUGGUUUUGACUUCCACAAUGUGGCUAAGCAUGGCUCUCUUACAAGGAGUUAACUGGAUAUUGGGGAAGGGUAAUAUGAUUUAUUACAAUCUGCUGCAUCAACAAAGAUGACUUACAUGAGACCAGCCAAAGACGUCAACUUCAGAAUAAAGAACUAAACAUCUCAGGAAGGAAGGAAGGAAGGAAGGAAGGAAGGAAGGAAGGAAGAAAGAAAGAAAGAAAGAAAGAAAGAAAGAAAGAAAGAAAGAAAGAAAGAAAGAAAGAGGGGGGAGGGAGGGAGGGAGGGAGGAAGGAAGGAAGGAAGGAAGAAAGAAAGAAAGAAAGAAAGAAAGAAAGAAAGAAAGAAAGAAAGAAAGAAAGAGAGAGAGGGGGAAGGGAGGGAGGGAGGGAGGGAGGAAGGAAGGAAGGAAGGAAGGAAGGAAGGAAGGAAGGAAGGAAGGAAGGAAGGAAGGAAGAGAAAAAGAACUAAACAUCCUCUGCAACAUUGAAAUAGCAUCUCUGGUGCCCAGUUCUUGUAAUGGUUUCUCCAAGUACUCUAGAUCAAAGUCAAAAUUCCUACUCACUGAAAAUCAGCUUCACAGCUAUCCAUGGCCCCAUCCUAGGAUAAGGCCUUUGUACUCAGACCUCUGAGCGCUCCCCUUCCCCCUGCCAUCUCAUACAGCCUCCCACCUCCCUUAUCCUAUCCUCUGCUGAUUUUGUGAUAACCCAUGAUCCAGAACAGAUAGUGAAAGCUCUCUGACAGAGGUGACACAGCCUAUAGUCUGGGAAAAGGAGAAAACUGACCUCUCAUGAGGAAAGGCUAACAAUAAAGUCCAUAAAUAGAUGUAAGAUGAGUGUUGGUGUGGUCUGUAAUUGGGAAGAGCCAUUUAAUCUCUCUGGUAGGUCUAGAAAAGAGAUCUGGGAAAGAUAAUGCUUCUAGAGUUUGAUUCUUAUGAAGAGUUCCAAGCUACACAGAGGGCUGAAAUUCUGAAGCAAUGCUGGGAGCCACCGCAGUGGGUAGAAGGUGAGUUUCCGUCCACCUCAGAGGUCUUGCUUAGUAGCGCUAUAGUCGCUAUAGUUGCUGAGUGUUGGGUACUCACAGUACACAGCCUUAACUAAGCUGAAGCAGUUUGCAAGAAAUGAGUUGCUCUUUAAGGCCAGAAGGGAUCACAAAGAACACAGGAGUGAGUCUCUCCGAAAGUUUCCUUGUGGUACAGAUUUGUGAGGUCAAAAUCAGCCCAGAAUCUCUCGAUGUGGGGCCCAGAAGGUUUUAAAAUGUGCCUAGGAGAUGUUUUGUUUUGUUUUAAAAAUCACAUUCUAAGUUUAAGGGUUCAAUACGCAAAAGUAAGUAUGAUUGGUGUGUGGGAAGAGGAUUCGGAGGGAACAGGGAAAAUAUAUUGAACAAAGAAAUACAUUGGAGUGCAAAAUAUUUGUGUUACCUACGAGUCCAGGCCAAUGCCCUUCUGUAAUGUGGGGCAAAGGUUAAAAACUUAACACUUCUCUUUCAAGGCUGGUGUUGACUUCAGGACCAUUGCUCCAAGCCUACUUUCCAAUGUCAACAGAUUGUGUGUGUGUGUGUGCGUGUGUGUGCGUGCGUGUGUGUGUGUGUGUGUGUGUGUGUGUGUGUGUGUGUGUGUGUGUGCGCGCGCGCAUGCGCGCUCGCCUGCUCCUGAGUAUCUGUGUCUAUAUGUGUCUCUGUAUGUGUGCAUGCAUGCAAGUGCAGACAUGUACCCAUUGUCGUCUAAUCCCUUUUCUCUCUUCCAAUAAGAUAAUUUAAUGGAAAAAUCUGGUACCUACUUUAAAAAGAACAGCCAGCUAGGGAUAAAGAUGAUUAGUGGAUGAAAAAUAAUGAUCUCUUUCUGUUUUCUUAGAACUUACAAAGAAACUCAGAUUCUCUCAUUUAAUCUUCACCUAAUGCUAUGGGGAUAGGUCUUCUUAUAAGUGAGCUUCAGUGUGCAGUCAGGAAUACAGAGUAGGCAUAGACAAGCCUGUGGUCAUGUAAGUCAGUUGCUGCUGAGAAUUGAUGUACCUCCUCAAAAAUUCACCUUGGAGACUGUGGUGAUUUAAAUGAGAAAGGUCCCUCACAGUUGGGAGCACUGUCUGGAGAGGCUAUGGAAAGGUUCAGCCUUGUUUCAACAAGUACAGCACUGGGGCUGGGCUUUGGGGGUUUUUUGUUUUUGUUUUUGUUUUUAAUUUAUUUAUUUAUUAUAAGUACAGUGUAGCUGACUUCAGACACACCAGAAGAGGCCGUCAGGUUUCAUUACAGAUGGUGGUUACAGUGAGCCACCAUGUGGUUGCUGGGAUUUGAACUCAGGACCUUCGGAAGAGCAGUCAGUGCUCUUAACUACUGAGCCAUCUCUCCAGCCCAGCUUUGAGAUAUUUUUUUUGAAGCUUUGCCCUACUCCCGGUUCCCUCUCUGCUUGGUGCUUGCAGUUGAUGAUGUGAGUUCUAGCCUUAGCUAAAUUCUUGCAGUGACAAGCUUCUUCACUCCUGCUCAGCUCAGAUCCCUCACUGGCUGAAUGGGGAUCGAAAGCCCGCCCUAACCCUCCACCCACAGGGACAGCAGGAGAUGCACAAUGCUGAGUCAGUACUGCCUUCUCCAUAAGACCGUCCCAGGGGGGUACGGAGUCAUAAUGGAGGCACAGAGCGCUUGAGAACAACUUGAGUUCAACUGAAGAUUUGUCUCAUUCUGUGUGCUCCUGGCUGGGGAAAGUGUGCAACGGUCUGAGCCUGAGGAAGAAUCCCUGGAAGCUCACAGUCCAGCUACCCUGCCGUCCUCAGUGGGAAAGCAAUGAACAGGCGUUGUCUCAAAAGGAGGGAAGUGAGGACUAACACCCGAGGUUGUCUUCUGACCUGCACAUGUGUGUUAUACUCACAACGAAUGCAAGUGCACACACAUACACAUACACAUGAUACACACACACACACACACACACACACACACACACACA